UUGAAACAGGAUCCCAGCGGAGGGUGGGGUGAAGACAGCGGGUCUGCUCGCUCCAGACUGCGGGGGAAGAGGUAGGCGCUUGCCUGGCGGCCCAGGAAGCGGGACCCACAUUCCUCAGCGGGGAGGGUCUGCUCCAGCCCUGCUCCCGCCGACAGGGAAGGUCCCAGCCGCGAUUGCGGAAGGGGGUCGGAGGUGAACAGCCUCUGCGCUCCCAGGUACAGCCGGCCAGGCUGCCGACUGGAGGAAAAAGCGAGAAGCCCCAGUCCCUUCCUGCCGUCUCGAGGGCAGUCCAUCCUCGGGCUUCCGCCUUUCUUUGAUCCCGCCUCCUCUGAUAGAUCACUGCAUCUAUCAGUCCUUCCUGACUACCUCCAACUCCAGCUUCCAAAGGCGGCCGCUGACUUCACUAAGCCGUUGUGGAGCACACCCCUCAGUCCUCCGCCAGCGCUGGUAACGGUGCUCGUGACGAAAGAAUAACUGAGGAUGGCACCGGCACCGAUCUAGCAAUUUAGCCAAGAUUACAUAACCAGCAAAAGCAGAGCCUGACAAGAUCCCAAAUCCAGCCAACUGCUGAGUGCUUACUAUGUGCCAGCCAUUAUUCUAAGCCCUUUAUAGGAACGAUUGCAGUCACAGAAGAAAGAAACUGAGGCACGGUCGCACAGCUAGUGUGUGGUAGACCUGGGAUUUGUAACAGGGGAACGCUGCUCUUCACCACCUAUUCUGUUUUCUUUUUGACACUUGUUAUAUUUAGUUCAACACUUGAUUAUAAUGUCUGGCGUUGUUUCUAAUUGUUUUAAUCUAUAUAGCUUAUUUCCGAUAAAGAUCGCCAUCUUUCCUUAGGGCAGAAGUCACAGGAUGCACUCAGUAAAGCCAUGGCGAAUUCAGCUGCUCUAUUGUGGUAGACCUCAGGAAAGGGAGGAGAUGUCAACACGGUGAAGGGCCCCCGGCCUCUAUGCUUGCAGCCCGGAGAAGGAGCCAGGGCUGGCUGGGAUGGGGAAUGAACUCCCAAACUUGGAGG
rnacentral:lncRNA from 1 species